UAGGGAAUCUUCGGCAAUGGACGAAAGUCUGCCCGAGCAACGCCGCGUGAGUGAAGAAGGUUUUCGGAUCGUAAAACUCUGUUGUUUGAGAAGAACAAGGACGUUAGUAACUGAACGUCCCCUGACGGUAUCUAACCAGAAAGCCACGGCUAACUACGUGCCAGCAGCCGCGGUAAUACGUAGGUGGCAAGCGUUGUCCGGAUCUAUUGGGCGUAAAGCGAGCGCAGGCGGUUUCUUAAGUCUGAUGUGAAAGCCCCCGGCUCAACCGGGGAGGGUCAUUGGAAACUGGGAGACUUGAGUGCAGAAGAGGAGAGUGGAAUUCCAUGUGUAGCGGUGAAAUGCGUAGAUAUAUGGAGGAACACCAGUGGCGAAGGCGGCUCUCUGGUCUGUAACUGACGCUGAGGCUAGAAAGCGUGGGGAGCAAACAGG
rnacentral:rRNA from 1 species